UCAAUAUUCCCUCCGUCCAACAAAAGAUAUCUUAAGUUUGUCAAAAUUUGGAUAUAUGUAGACAUGACUUAAUAUAUAGAUUCAAAUUUAGUCAAAAUUGAAGCAUACUUUGUUGGACGGAGGGAGUACUAG
rnacentral:pre_miRNA from 1 species